rnacentral:rRNA from 1 species
AGCGAACGCUGGCGGCAGGCUUAACACAUGCAAGUCGAGCGGGCCUUUCGGGGUCAGCGGCGGACGGGUGAGUAACGCGUGGGAACGUGCCCUCUGGUUCGGAAUAACUCAGGGAAACUUGAGCUAAUACCGGAUACGCCCUUUUGGGGAAAGGCUUGCUGCCGGAGGAUCGGCCCGCGUCUGAUUAGCUAGUUGGUGAGGUAACGGGUCACCAAGGCGUCGAUCAGUAGCUGGUCUGAGAGGAAGAGCAGCCACACUGGGACUGAGACACGGCCCAGACUCCUACGGGAGGCAGCAGUGGGGAAUAUUGGACAAUGGGCGCAAGCCUGAUCCAGCCAGGCCGCGUGAGUGAUGAAGGCCUGAGGGUUGUAAAGCUCUUUUAUCCGGGACGAUAAUGACGGUACCGGAGGAAUAAGCCCCGGCUAACUUCGUG